CAGCAGCCGCGGUAAUACAGAGGGUGCGAGCGUUAAUCGGAUUUACUGGGCGUAAAGCGUGCGUAGGCGGCUUUUUAAGUCGGAUGUGAAAUCCCUGAGCUUAACUUAGGAAUUGCAUUCGAUACUGGGAAGCUAGAGUAUGGGAGAGGAUGGUAGAAUUCCAGGUGUAGCGGUGAAAUGCGUAGAGAUCUGGAGGAAUACCGAUGGCGAAGGCAGCCAUCUGGCCUAAUACUGACGCUGAGGUACGAAAGCAUGGGGAGCAAACAGGAUUAGAUACCCGUGUAGUCCAUGUCUCUUAUAC
rnacentral:rRNA from 1 species